GUAGGUGAACCUGCGGAAGGAUCAUUACUGAAGACCAUAGAGUUUUGAGACUGCGUUCAAAUGAUCGCGUGCUCGACUCUUACUCUUUAUCCACACACACCUCUGUGCACCAUGGGACGAAACUGUAACCGGGAGUAGUCCCCUUUUAUAUAAACACGAGUUAUUAUAUGCAUGUUAUUUUAAUGCUCUACGGAGUAAUAAUAAUGUACAACUUUCAACAACGGAUCUCUUGGCUUUC
rnacentral:misc_RNA from 1 species